CCUGUAAGCGGGGAAUAACCCGUUGAAAGACGGACUAAUACCGCGAUAAUACUAAAUUAACUGCAUGGUAAUUAUUUAAACAUUUAUGGCUUACAGAUGGGCAUGCGCAUGAUUAGCUAGUUGGAGAGGUAACGGCUCCCCAAGGCAACGAUCAUUAGGGGUUCUAGAGAGGAAGGUCCCCCACACUGGUACUGAGACACGGACCAGACUCCUACGGGAGGCAGCAGUGAGGAAUAUUGGUCAAUGGACGAGAGUCUGAACCAGCCAAGUCGCGUGGCCAGGAAGAAUGUCCUAAUGGAUUGUAAACUGCUUUUGCAGGGGAAUAAAGUGCAUCACGUGUGAUGUUUUGUAUGUACUCUGCGAAUAAGGAUCCGGCUAACUCCGUGCCAGCAGCUGC
rnacentral:rRNA from 1 species